rnacentral:lncRNA from 1 species
AUGCUUGCUGCAGUUUUGGAACUGGCUACCCAGCCAGGCGGGUCUCCUUCCCUCCCAGCCCCACUCCCCUCUCUGCACUGCGCUCCGCUCCUGCUGGCCUCUUCGCUGCCGCUGCUGUCCCGACCGAACCCGCUCAACACGGCAGGACGUGGCCGGCGGCCGCCCGCAACGCAGACCCCGGAGCCGCAGCUCUUUCCUAAUAGCAUUUCUAAGAUCAAGGAUGUUGGAGAGAGUACACUUCAUGUGAAAGUCUUGAAAGUCUUCUGUGACUGUCUCCCCUCUGAGGAGAAGGAUCAUCAAUAGCAUUCAGUACCAUCUAGGAAGUUAGUGGAUUUUUCCUUCCACCUCCUUGACAAAUGCUCCAAGUUCCCCAAAACCAUGAACUGUUUUUUCUGACAUUGUUGAGGCUUAUACAAGCAGAGUGGAGGGCUGUUUUUUUUAGUUCUGC